CAGCAGCCGCGGUAACACGAAGGGUGCAAGCGUUAAUCGGAAUUACUGGGCGUAAAGCGUGCGUAGGCGGUGAGUUAAGUCUGCUGUGAAAUCCCCGGGCUCAACCUGGGAAUGGCAGUGGAUACUGGCUCGCUAGAGUGUGUCAGAGGAUGGUGGAAUUCCCGGUGUAGCGGUGAAAUGCGUAGAGAUCGGGAGGAACAUCAGUGGCGAAGGCGGCCAUCUGGGACAACACUGACGCUGAGGCACGAAAGCGUGGGGAGCAAACAGGAUUAGAUACCCCGGUAGUCCCUGUCUCUUAUAA
rnacentral:rRNA from 1 species